rnacentral:misc_RNA from 1 species
AAGUCGUAACAAGGUAUCCGUAGGUGAACCUGCGGAUGGAUCAUUACCAAAGGAUUUUAUCCCAAGGUCUUGUGAACUGUUUUGAACACCACGGUCAGAGGUCUCCUUGUGGAUUUCUGGCUGUACACUAAACCUUUAAACCUCAACUUACAUCAAAAACAUAAACAAUUACAACUUUUAGCAAUGGAUCUCUUGGCUCUC